AGAAAAAAGAAGAAGAAGAAGAAGAAGAAGAAGAAGAAGAAGAAGAAUUAUGAUAAUCAAUCAAAACAUGUUCUAAUGAUCAAACAUGUGAUCUUUAUUGCAUGAAGAGUGUAUCAUUAGGCUAAAAAUAGUUACUAAUUCUCAUAAUUAGCGUGAGUUACCGUCUAAUAUAUGUUGAACAACUAUUGGAGCAGUUAUGCCUGAAUAUGAAUCAGCACCGAUGAACAAUUGGUUUUUUAGGUAUUCAGGGUGUUCAUUGAUCCACUGCAUUGCCAUUUCAAUUCCAAACAAAGACUAAGCACAAUUGGUUU